rnacentral:misc_RNA from 1 species
AUUCACAGGACAACUUCGGGGUCAUCGCGUCCAACCGCUACGAACGCCUCGACGAGCCGUUCGACAUCACCGACGACAUCAUCCUGCCGACGGGCGCCUCGUACACGUUCAACAGGGUCCGCUUCUGGGGCCAGACGGCCAACCGGCGCAUGCUGUCGAUCAACGGCCGCUACGAAGUGGGCGAUUUCUACUCGGGGACGCGCACCGAGCGCCAGGCCAAUCUCUCGAUUCGCGUCCGGCCCGGACUGUUCGUCUACAUCAACGGCCAGUGGAACAACAUCAAGCUGGCGGAGGGACAGUUUCGCACGACGCUCUAUCGGUUCACCGGCGAGACACAAUUCUCGCCCUUCAUGGCGCUGGUCAACAACAUCCAGUACGACUCGCAGAGCGCCGUGCUCGGCUGGCAGUCCCGGUUCCGGUGGAUCCUCACCCCCGGCAACGACCUCUACAUCGUCUACACGCACAACUGGCUGGACGAUCCGGUGCUCAAUCGGUUCGCGACGCUCGACAAGCGCGCCGCGU